GGGCAGCGCGCAUGCGCGAAGGGGAGUGCGCGUCCAUCCCUCGUACACCUUUACCACAGAGCGCGAGGCGGGGGCCGGGGGGAACGCGCCUCUCGCCGGUCUCUAUGGCUCAGCCUGGCAUCUGGAGUCACACCGGGUUCCUUCCAGCUUUCCCAGCAGAAAUCCAAAUCCUGCAAGCAGUAAAGCAGCUGUGCUGCUGCUGUCCUGGUACAGACCCUGCCCACCCCCCCGGUGCUGCUGCCUUCUGCAGGGAGUGCCCGACAACAGCACCGUGACAGAGGUGACUGCACUUCCCUGCCCAUUUUAAAGAGAC